rnacentral:rRNA from 1 species
AUUGAACGCUGGCGGCAGGCUUAACACAUGCAAGUCGAGCGGUAACAGAGAGAAGCUUGCUUCUCUGCUGACGAGCGGCGGACGGGUGAGUAAUGCCUAGGAAUCUGCCUAGUAGUGGGGGAUAACUUGUCGAAAGGUAAGCUAAUACCGCAUACGUCCUACGGGAGAAAGGAGGGGACCUUCGGGCCUUUCGCUAUUAGAUGAGCCUAGGUCGGAUUAGUUAGUUGGUGAGGUAAUGGCUCACCAAGACCGCGAUCCGUAACUGGUCUGAGAGGAUGAUCAGUCACACUGGAACUGAGGCACGGUCCAGACUCCUACGGGAGGCAGCAGUGGGGAAUAUUGGACAAUGGGGGGAACCCUGAUCCAGCCAUGCCGCGUGUGUGAAGAAGGUCUUAGGAUUGUAAAGCACUUUAAGUUGGGAGGAAGAGCAGUUAACUAAUAUUUGACUGUUUUGACGUUACCGACAGAAUAAGCACCGGCUAACUUCGUGCCAGCCGCCGCAGUAA